rnacentral:tRNA from 1 species
CAAGGUAGCCGUACUGGAAAGUGCGGCUGGAUCACNUCCUUUCUAAGAGAAAGAUAAACUAAGGCUAAUUCCAUUAACUCUUCCNUACUCUUUUCUUUUGAUAAGAGAGUUUUUAAAACCAGUGUUAUUUAUGUAAGUUUAAGAGAAGUUUAUGUAUUAAAUUAUUGAUAUUAAAUAGUUUUAUUAGGCUUAGACUUAAUUUUAGGUCAUUUUGGGGGUUUAGCUCAGUUGGCUAGAGCAUCGGCUUUGCAAGCCGAGGGUCAAGGGUUCGAGUCCCUUAACCUCCAUUGGGCUUAUGCCCUAAAUUGUAAUUAAGUAUGUUUUUAAGUAACUUUGUUAAAGUAAUUGUUGGAAUGUGAAACACAAGAAGUUAAAAUUUCUGGGUUAAGUUGAGAUCUGUUGAUAUUAAGAAAAAUGUCUAGAAGCAAAAGCAAGCUUUCGAUAAAACCCGAAGUUGUUUCGCUAAAGUGCAAGGAUUAAACAGGAUUGUAUUUUUCAGCAGCCUAUUUUAUAAACGAUCUGCAUUUAGUAAAUAGUUUUUAGUUAGGAAAUAAUGUAGAUUACUAAGUGUGAUGUCUGAGAGAAG